rnacentral:rRNA from 1 species
UUAAGCGACUAAGCGUACACGGUGGAUGCCCUGGCAGUCAGAGGCGAUGAAGGACGUGCUAAUCUGCGAAAAGCGUCGGUAAGGUGAUAUGAACCGUUACAGCCGGCGAUGUCCGAAUGGGGAAACCCAGUGCAAUUCGUUGCACUAUCGUUAACUGAAUACAUAGGUUAACGAGGCGAACCGGGGGAACUGAAACAUCUAAGUACCCCGAGGAAAAGAAAUCAACCGAGAUUCCCCCAGUAGCGGCGAGCGAACGGGGAGCAGCCCAGAGUCUGAAUCAGCUUGUGUGUUAGUGGAACGGUCUGGAAAGUCCGACGGUACAGGGUGAUAGUCCCGUACACCAAAAUGCACAGGUUGUGAACUCGAAGAGUAGGGCGGGACACGUGGUAUCCUGUCUGAAUAUGGGGGGACCAUCCUCCAAGGCUAAAUACUCCUGACUGACCGAUAGUGAACCAGUACCGUGAGGGAAAGGCGAAAAGAACCCCGGCGAGGGGAGUGAAAAAGAACCUGAAACCGUGUACGUACAAGCAGUGGGAGCACCUUCGGGUGUGACUGCGUACCUUUUGUAUAAUGGGUCAGCGACUUAUAUUCUGUAGCAAGGUUAACCGUAUAGGGGAGCCGCAGGGAAACCGAGUCUUAACUGGGCGUUAAGUUGCAGGGUAUAGACCCGAAACCCGGUGAUCUAGCCAUGGGCAGGUUGAAGGUUGGGUAACACUAACUGGAGGACCGAACCGACUAAUGUUGAAAAAUUAGCGGAUGACUUGUGGCUGGGGGUGAAAGGCCAAUCAAACCGGGAGAUAGCUGGUUCUCCCCGAAAGCUAUUUAGGUAGCGCCUCGUGAAUUCAUCUUCGGGGGUAGAGCACUGUUUCGGCUAGGGGGUCAUCCCGACUUACCAACCCGAUGCAAACUACGAAUACCGAAGAAUGUUAUCACGGGAGACACACGGCGGGUGCUAACGUCCGUCGUGAAGAGGGAAACAACCCAGACCGCCAGCUAAGGUCCCAAAGUCAUGGUUAAGUGGGAAACGAUGUGGGAAGGCACAGACAGCCAGGAUGUUGGCUUAGAAGCAGCCAUCAUUUAAAGAAAGCGUAAUAGCUCACUGGUCGAGUCGGCCUGCGCGGAAGAUGUAACGGGGCUAAACCAUGCACCGAAGCUGCGGCAGCGACACUAUGUGUUGUUGGGUAGGGGAGCGUUCUGUAAGCCUGCGAAGGUGACCUGUGAGGGUUGCUGGAGGUAUCAGAAGUGCGAAUGCUGACAUAAGUAACGAUAAAGCGGGUGAAAAGCCCGCUCGCCGGAAGACCAAGGGUUCCUGUCCAACGUUAAUCGGGGCAGGGUGAGUCGACCCCUAAGGCGAGGCCGAAAGGCGUAGUCGAUGGGAAACAGGUUAAUAUUCCUGUACUUGGUGUUACUGCGAAGGGGGGACGGAGAAGGCUAUGUUAGCCGGGCGACGGUUGUCCCGGUUUAAGCAUGUAGGCUGGUUGUCCAGGCAAAUCCGGAUAAUCAAGGCUGAGGUGUGAUGACGAGGCACUACGGUGCUGAAGUAACAAAUGCCCUGCUUCCAGGAAAAGCCUCUAAGCAUCAGGUAACAUCAAAUCGUACCCCAAACCGACACAGGUGGUCAGGUAGAGAAUACCAAGGCGCUUGAGAGAACUCGGGUGAAGGAACUAGGCAAAAUGGUGCCGUAACUUCGGGAGAAGGCACGCUGGUGUGUAGGUGAAGUCCCUGCGGAUGGAGCUGAGACCAGUCGAAGAUACCAGCUGGCUGCAACUGUUUAUUAAAAACACAGCACUGUGCAAACACGAAAGUGGACGUAUACGGUGUGACGCCUGCCCGGUGCCGGAAGGUUAAUUGAUGGGGUUAUCCGUAAGGAGAAGCUCUUGAUCGAAGCCCCGGUAAACGGCGGCCGUAACUAUAACGGUCCUAAGGUAGCGAAAUUCCUUGUCGGGUAAGUUCCGACCUGCACGAAUGGCGUAAUGAUGGCCAGGCUGUCUCCACCCGAGACUCAGUGAAAUUGAACUCGCUGUGAAGAUGCAGUGUACCCGCGGCAAGACGGAAAGACCCCGUGAACCUUUACUAUAGCUUGACACUGAACAUUGAGCCUUGAUGUGUAGGAUAGGUGGGAGGCUUUGAAGCGUGGACGCCAGUCUGCGUGGAGCCAACCUUGAAAUACCACCCUUUAAUGUUUGAUGUUCUAACGUUGGCCCCUUACCGGGGUUGCGGACAGUGUCUGGUGGGUAGUUUGACUGGGGCGGUCUCCUCCCAAAGCGUAACGGAGGAGCACGAAGGUUAGCUAAUCCUGGU